GGGGACAUUGUGUCCUAGAAGGGGUCACCCUGGACAAGCAAGGCUUCCUCUGGUCCAGCCCAGCAGGCCUUGUGUAUUUCCAUCCCUCUCCUCUCUCUGCUGCAGCACUUUGCCGCUCUCCGACAGUCUGAUCUUUGCAGGCAUCGUUGUGGAUGCAGAAUGCUCAGUUCAGAAUAGCCUUUCCCAGGCUUUCCCUCCUGGCCCAUCCCCUUCAGAUAUUUCCUAGGUUGUGCCUGUGAUAUUCCCACCCGGCAGUCAUUUCUCAGGCUGAACGUCUAACUUCUGCUGCCCCUGGCACCCACUCCAGAGAACGGUGGGGACCCCGUGCCUAGCUGAAAGGGAGUCACAUCACAUGGGCCUCUGGAGGCCAGCAGCUGCCCACCCACGGGGAGGCACUCCCUGCCUUUCGAAGGACCCGAGGUGGGGAGCUUCCUUCUGCACUUAGCAUGUGGCCACCUGCUGCCCAUUGCUUUUCAUCCCUGCGCUGCUGCUUCUGGAAAUCAUCUUUGUAACUUCCCUCUUCCCACCACCCCGCGUCCUACCCUAGAACGAGCAGGGAGGCGAGAAACCAAGAAACCGGAGUUACUUACACCCAGGCUGGCUGACUCAGUUGAAAGAAAGAACGUGGAUGUUAUAUUUCCCUGUGCAGCUUCUGUGAUUCCGUAAGACAGACAUGACAACCGAGGAAGACAGGGGCCAAGGACCGCACGGCAUCCGAGCACAGGGCGUCUGACCCUCCCUGUGAUGCUUCCUUCUCAUUUGAACUUGACUCCUCCUGGCUCUUCCUCCUCUAUCUGUUUAUAAGUCUCCCGUUGGGGAAAAAAAGCCAACCUCCUCCCCAUCCCUGGGGAUUAUCUUGAUCUUUUAUUUAGACUUUGAGGUCGAGGACACACGGAACUUGAAAUGCUGCACAACGUCAACAGCAAUAAUCCGCUCAGGACUGUGGGAUGGAUGGGUCAGAGGAUGAGAAAACGGGACCAGAACUGCAAAGACUGGCUUUGGCUGCCCGGUCCGCCUCUCACAGCUCCACACUGCUCUGGGUCGAUCCUCCUGCAUGUGUUCCAGGGAGCAGCGAUGCAUGCAGUAAACCUGUCGGCCUGGGACGGAGCUGAGCUGUUAACGAAGUGGGGUGGUUUGGGGGAAAUGAAUGCUCCUUACCCAUCUGUAGCUCAUGGAAACCAUGUGACUAAGCCCAGGGUGCAGGGAUUAUCUGUGUAGCAUAGGCAUGCAGAGCUGGACGAAGCUCUCCCCCCCUUGCACAGGAAGGUGCUGAAAUGUUUUUGUGGACCUGAAGGUGCACUUAACAAAACUGCCCAUUCGGGAAUGACUGUCUUUCGGUUUACUUCCCUUGAUUUGUUUUCUUGGGCUUUUUGCCUUUUCAUCCCUUCCCUAGAUCUUGAGCUUUAAUGGCUCCUGCCUUGACUACUGCUUUUCUCCCGAAGGAGAGGACGGCUGACCUGCUGAGAGCCAUAACUCAGCUCUUCCGGUGUGGGAAGGCCCCCGUUCCAUGGGGGGGGGGGCGUGGGCAGCGGAAGGGCUGGGUCACACCAGGGCUGUUGGCCAUCCCAGAAGCCCUGAAGGGGUUAACUCACCUCAAGUGAUCUGAAUGCGAGAGACCAAAGACACUGUCCUCAGAGUCGAGGAAGACAGAUGAUGGCCAGGAAAGGCUUUUGGUUUUGCCUCUCCUGGCCGCUGUCUGUGCACAGCCAUUCCUCAGCACCCCCUUGAGAGGUGAGUUCUGAUGAUCGCUUAAACAGUUUGUUGGGAGCGUGUGCGCCAGUUCGCCUAGCAAAAUCAAAUAAUCCAGGAGCAAAUUCUUCUCCUGGAAUACGGCCGAGGGCCACUCCUUCCUCUGACUGUGGAGGCAUGACUCAUUCGAAGAUAAACAAGGAUACUUGGAAGUGGUGAGUGAGGGACAGAUGUCUUCAAGCAGAAAUUUGGUUUAGUCCAUCAAGGUCCUUCUUCACAUUGUGAAUAGUUACAGAUUUUUCAAGUGAGUUGACAUCCAAAGAGCUGGGAGAAAUAGUGUCCUAAUCCCCUCGUUUAAUGUAGGAGACCUCAAAACACAGGCUCUUUAAAACCCGAAUUCCUUGUUCGGUGGAUGGGAUUGACUCAAAGGAGAAAGGGCAGCUUACUCUCUCCCAGGAGUGACUCGCUCCUGGGGGUGGUGACGCGUGGUGAGUGUACCCAUCCACCGUGCAGAAUUGUUAGAAAAGCGACCACUAGACAGCCCUUUUUAUCUUCCUGCCUUUUCAAGAAAGGAUGGAAGUUGUUUGAUGUUUACGUUCAUUUUAAGAAGACAAAACACACAUUUUGCAACCAGACCCAACCCGAGCUAAUCGCCGUCUCAGGAGGUGGCCUCUCGUCCACCACAUGGUGUAUUUGUGCUUAUAUUUAUACCGUGGAAGUUCAGGGUACACACGAACACGUCCAGCAUGACUCAGGCAAAAUGACCACGGGCUUUCUUGGGAAGCCCCGGUGUCUGUAAGGGGUAAGGGCCGGCUGCCCUCAGGACCCCAGCGUUAAGGAGCUUAGCCCUAGUUGCAGUGAUUUUCAUCUGGGGGCUAACUAGGAGUUUACUGUUAAUGGCACGAGACUUUAAAGAGGAGAGGAAAGUUUUGUGCCACAACUGGAGAAGAAAUGGUGUAAGGAAAGAAAGCCAAACGAAACACAAAUAUCCCUUGCGAAAUAUUCCAGGUCAAAAGUGUCACCUUUCUAAGACCCACAGACACACCUUUUUCUUCUCUCCAGUGCACUGUUUAGGAAUCGUUUCUCCAGCAGCUGUGAAGUAGAAAGCAUGGACUCUAUGAUAUACCUCCGCUAUUAAAAGCAAAGUACAACCCAGGUUAAAAGUACCAAUUGAAUAGUCUUAAUAAGUGCACCAUCAGGAUGACAAACCAUUGAAGCUGAGCAAGCACUCUUUCUUUUCUUGAGUUUGCCCGUCGCUUACGCCUUGAGUUAAAGGAUGUGUCUCACUUUCACCUACUGUGCAUUUCCCCUGCCCUGUUUCCUAGGUCAGGUAGAGGACAUUGAAUGUUAGGAACUGGGAACCUAAUUGAAGCGCAUAGUUUCCAUCUAUGCAAUUUUACUUGCUUCUGUCACUUUAUGAUCUGUUCAUAUUUGGCAUCAAUUAAAGAUAAUUUUUAAGGAUC
ensembl:lncRNA